GGCCAAAGGGGCGGAGAACCAAAUUCCCAAGAUCUUUCAGUUUGCCUACAAUGAAAAAGAAACACGUGAGUAGUAAGCAGAGGGAAAACUCCCACUGAAUGAUGCCCAACUACACACUCCAGCUCCACCAAUUUAUCUACUAAUUCAAGACAACAAGAGACCUCCAACAGGAAGACCACUAUCUGAUUAUCAGAGUAUACCCCUGGGAAAUGGAGGUUACCUGUUUGUGUCCCUGCUGACUGAGAGAACCAUUUAUCUACAUGAAAGGUGGGUGUCAAAAAUCCUUUUCCCCUUCAUACAUUUUACCUAAUAUCUCUGGUGGUAUUAUUUACUGCUCACCUCAACCCUGCUGCUACAGAUUAACUAUGUUCACAACACAUCCAGUUCCAGUGUAAGUCAGAAAUUUACACACAUUUAGAUCUUUUUUAACGUAGAGAUCUCUAUGUGCAUGCAUGGUUGUGUACAUCUGUAUAAAAGCGUGUAUUUCUGUACAUACACAUAUAAUAACAUAUGUGUGUAUAUGCAUAUCGAGAGACAUGCACAUUGGUAUACAAGAUGUAUAUAUAAAUAUGCAUAUAAAUGUCUACACAACUACAGUGUAUGCAUAAAGGACUGAGCCAGUGGAUAAAAAGACACAUACAAACAUACAGUUAUGAGAGAAUUACUAAGCCACUGAGCCUUCAUCAAUUCCAAGCAAUUGCAUUAGCAAAACUCAAGACUGGUGGAAGCCUUUUAUGAUUCUCAGAAAAAGCCCUGGCACUUGGAAGGCAGUCAGUUUUGUAUUGUGUUCUUGGAUUUAAACACAACUUUCAUGAGAAUCCUGCUUUAGCGAUCCAAGUCUUUGUGAUUUAAACUUAACUCUUAAGGAAGUCUGCUAUCUCUUUCUGUUCUCUAGAGCUGGGUGAAGAAAUGAUAAAGAUGAUAAAGCUGAAAAAUGAUAAAUGCAAGAUAUUCCUAUGAGUUUUCUGCAAUAUCACUAUGAUGGCUAAAUAUUAAGAUUCCCCAAUUUCCAUACAAUAUUCAAAGAUUAUCAACACACCUCCUUUCUUGAACUGUUCAUUUCCUUUCUCCUUCAGCGUUGUGCUUUCCUUUCUUCUUUUCUACAAAAGAAGAGACGUCUCAAAGUAUUUAACUGAAAUGAACAAGUAGGUCAGCUGUACUUCCAAAUAAACUAUGAAUGAAAAGCAAAAUAAAAUACAACCUGAAGAAUUUUAGCUAGUACCAAGAUCCUUUGCUUGCAUUCACUGUGAGAUGUUGGACUUCAUAAUCCAUAAAACACUGGAGUAUACCAAGAAAGCAGUUAGAAAACCCCAGUUCAUAAACAACAUUAUGCACCAAGGCCAUUCAUAAUGAAUUAUGUGGUUUAAACUAAUAAGUUACCCUCUUAGCUGUUUGCUUGCUUCUUAAUUCCUUACCAGUUCAACUACCAUAGCUCAACUAUAUAGAAUGUAUUUUAGAUGUAAAGUCUCAAAAGUUUUGUUUGAAAUAAUUCCACCUCAAAAAUCCAUAGUUACUUUCAGAAACGUGCAAAGCAUUUUCAGCUUACUGAAUUAGAAACAGGUCUGUGCAUAAUACCACUCUGAAAGAUUUCUUAUGCAGAGUGAAUAAACCAUCAGACCCCGAGACAGGAAGAUUGUUCUGUUAUACAGUGAAAAUUGCACAUGCUGAGCAGAGUUGUGUUCUCAUCCAUGAAUAUCUUAACAGUACUUUUGGCACAAGCAGAGUUGACAUGAAUGCUCUUAGCCUCUGACACUGAAAACACAGGAUGUCAUCAAGCCAUCUCUGAAAUGUAUUUACAAAGGCAGGCUUCCACACGCAGGCAUACCUCACAGAAGUAAAGACGAAACACUUGUAAAGAAAGACAAUACUAACAAGGGGCAAUGCUCAUAUUUGUGAAUCAUUUCUACAGUAAAAAAAGAACAAAGACAAUUUGACCCCCGAUUUGCCCCUAAGAUGCAGGCACAAGGGACUCAAAUCAAGGCAUUCAGAAAUUACAGAUCACUGAGCAAUUAAAAAGCCAACACUAGAAAAGGAACAGUUUCCCACAGAUUGUGUAAAUCAAGGAUUAAUGCAAUUAUCAAUAUCGCACAGAACAUCUCCUUGGAAACAGCUAAAUAUAGUACUCUGUGGAGCACUGCACCAUCUCACAGCUAUGCCAAGUAACUGACAAACAAUACAAAAUCAGAGGUUCUCUCCUCUCACCCUUAUUGCUCUUAGAGAUAAUUCACCCGACCGCUGUUACCAUGUCAGUAAUAACAGAUCGCAGAGCUCUGAGGGAAAUGCCACUCAGCGGUCACACACACAGCUACCCAGCAAAGUCUCACCUGACCCUAUGGACACACAAUUACAUCAGUAACAUUUUUCCUAUUGCCUAUUAAAAACAUUGUCUAAUACUGAUCGAUCUUCAAAUUGAAAAAAAAAAAAAGCAGAUGAAAUCUAUAUCACUAUUUAGAAAUCAGCUUUCCUUCAGGGUUCUCUGCCAAACCUAUACAAGUCCUUCUACAGUGUCAUUAGCACCAUGAGCCAGUGAGUGCCUUUUGAACAUGAGGGUAGGAACAAAUUUGAGAGAUUAAGGCACAGACAGCAUUAAAAGCAUGCAUUCUUUGUGCAUAUGUGGGAUUCUACAAUUCAGCACAGGGAACACAUAGCUUCAUUUGAAGGCUGCACCCUGACUUUGGAAGCACCCAUCACUGCUGCACAUACAUUUGUAGCUCCAAAAUAAUACAUUUUAAAAACAACUUAUAGAUGUCAUUUUCACAGUAGUGAAUCAAGAAGUAUCAUCAAAUCACCACGGCUGGAAGAGACCUCCAAGACCAAGUAGCCAUAUUUCAGCACAGAUCUGGUUUAGAAAAGAUGAUCUUACUGGAAAAGAUGAAAGAUCUACGUGAAUAAUCCUUAUCCAAGAUAAGAAAUGCUUGAAACACAAGCCCUGUUGACUUCAUUGCUCAUGACCUAUUUAGGACUGGCCUUUUAGUGCUAUUAACCGAUUCACUGUUGCAUAAGAUAGAGUUGUGUGCAAUGUAACAAAAGAUUCCCCCCCAUAAAAUGGUUGUGGUACUCCUGAUGCAGAAACCCUAAAAAAGAAGGAAUAUCAGAUGAAAAUCUUUACCUGCAUUAUCAUUUUAUUAAAAGUAUUACAAAAGAGUAUAUGCUUAUCCCAGUCAAGUAUUAAAAAUUAAUAUGAAAAUUUAUUUGAAGCAAGAAAACUUCAAGAGAAAAAGCUUUAUAAUCUUACAAAAAAAAAAAAAGGAAAAAAAAUUAUAUCACUGAAUUUUUUAACUAUGGGUUUCCUUCUUACUUAGCAAAGAGGACUGUGAGCUGGUUUCAACAGCAAAGAGGACCAAGGUGUCUGUACAACCCAUGUUUGUUGGGGAAACGUGGUCAGACAAAAGCUCUGAGCAAUUGAGGAGCGUAAGGGCUGUCACACUGCAAUGUGAUCAUUCAUACAGCUCUCCUCCUCUGAAUGUCCCUCAGAGGUUAGUGCAUUUAGGGCGGGAUGUACUAACAUGUAUGCAUUAGCAUUCUGCCUGUUUUUUGAUACGUCCACUUGGUCACUUCAAAAUCUUGAAGGAAGGAGGAAGACUAUUGUUCACCCAGCUGUUCCAGACAUACGAGUGUCAGUGAGAGACUUGCAGCAACUUCAGACUAUUUGACCAGAAAAGGUGUUGUGUUAGCAUGUUUCAGAAGCAUUGGUAAGAACACCUUAUAUGGCUCUGUACCUUACUCAGCUCCCUGGAAAGCAGCUAUAUAAGCAACACAAUCCUGGUUCAAAAACAGAAUUUCUGUUACAGCUUCACGAACGUUUUCAUAUCCCUAUAUUAACAGGCUUCAGGCUGUCACUUAACUGCACUUUUCAGAAAGGCAAGACUCAGAGGUACCUCAUGCAUCGUUCUGUACUUGCAUUCAAAGCGCGACCCAUUGGUGAUGCAUGGUAGCAGAUUAUCAUCCCCUAAAAGUAAAUUCCUCUGGCUUUCUCACAGAAUGCUAAUGCGUACAUGUUAGUACACCCCACCAUAAAUGCACUAACCUCUGAAGGACAUUCUCUAUUUGUGAAAUAAACACAAUUUGUGCCUGCACAUACAUGCAUUUCUGCAAUAGAAAGUCCUAAUACCAAAGCAGCAGAAAGAUGACUCUUCUGGAUUAACAUCAACUUAGUCUGAAAGGCCUGCUGCAGCUCGCACUGCUCCAACUGAUGCUGUUAGAAUCUUCUAUACAAACUUAGGGUUAAAAAAAGCACUAUUAGAAGACAAAACCUCUUCACUCAGCAAGCUGCAUUUCCAGGUUCAAUGGACUGGUCAUCAGUUUAUGGUGAUCACAUCAGACCAGAGAUCAAAAAUUGCAAGUGACUUGUCCUUGGGACAAAUUCUGCACUGUGUCAUUUCAGUGUCCCCACCCACUCAGUUUUCAGAACAAGAUUGAGGUAGCUAUAGGGCAGGCUACCCCUCCUCAGCAAAGGAAGUAGGUCAGACCAAACUCCUGGAAUGCUUUGCCUAGGGAAGAAAUAUCCUGACCCACCAUGUACCCUAAGGCUGCUCACAUAAGAGCACAGGGUAAAGGCACAACUUCCCAACUUACGUUCUGUUUUGCUCUCCUGCUAGUCAAAAUAGAUGAAAUCUUGCCAUUUGUUUUUUUGAAGAUCUCUUAAUAGGAUGAUCACAAAUUCCAAGCGGAAAGCAUCAGUUUUUUUUGUGUAUAUAUAUAUAUAUAUAGGGAAAAAAAAUCCAAACAAACUAGGGGAAAUAACUAUAUUUAACUAGAAAUAUUAUUCCUAAAGGAUCUGACUAGAAAAGAUUACAGAUUUGGACACCGAGUUAGAAUUGUCCACAUUGUGAAGAAAUUAAGAUCUUAACACAAACCUGCCUGGCAAGUAAGAGGUGCUGAGAAUGAAGGCUUGAUGUGAAGUAACAAGAAAAGACAGCUUGGCCUUCUGACAAUGAAGUACAACAAUUCAGAAGACAAACCAUCAGAUACAGUCCUUGGACCCCAGCUACUCUGCCAAGAAGCUUGCAGUUAAAAAUAAAAUCAUUAAAGUUUUAUUCUAGUACUAGAGGAGGCAGCAACCUACACAUUUUUUGCUGUUUAUUUUGGAAGGAACCAAUAUAAUAAAAGUGUUGGAAGCGGAAUCCCUAAAUAUAGUUGGUGAGAGCUGGAGGCUGAAUACCUUCCUUUUGUAAUGCGUCCAACCACGUUUCCUUUGGCUGCUCCUAUGCAUUUUAUUUGAUCAAUUGAUUUAACUUUGCAAGGGAACUGUUCUUGGCUGCAGUUUUGUGAAGAGCAGCAAAUAUACUUCCUUCGCUGCAAGGCUAUUUAUACAGUGUGACAGUGCACAUCUGCAUCUCAUAUACCCUUCUGUAAGGUCACCCAGUAGCAGUCAUUUAAAAUCACCAGGGUUCGAAGGGUGCACAAAAGCAAGCAAUUUGAACAGAUAAGGAAUAUACUUCUGAGCUUCAAAUAUCAAUUCUGUUUGUAAGCCACCUAGGAUUAGUCAUCUGCUUCCCCCUGCAGUUUUGUGAAGCUGUUGCUGUAUCACACAUUCGAGGAUCUGAACUUUGCUUUAUGGUCGUAUGGUGCUCACUGUAACUUCAUGCUGAAGAUGGAUUUAAUCUUUCUUCUGCCAGUCACUACCUUUCCCUGAAAUGGUAAGCAGCACUUCCAGAAACAAUAGGUCACAUCCAUCCCAGGCAGUCAGUUUAGGUUAGCAUGCCAGACUGAAAGCAGUGACUACCCCUGAGUGACAAUACAUGCCACUCAGUCACUUCUGCUCCAGAGGCAACAGCCUGGGGCAGAAAAGUGGAGCUGACCACUUAAUCCAUCACCAUAUGAGUCAAAAUAUUUAGUCACAUACAAGCCUCUCACUUCUGUAAACCAAAGGACUCAAUUUGACAGUAUCAGCAUCUUCCAGAGAAAUGCAGAACUAACAUAAGCAUAAAAACAGCAACACUGCAAGAAAAAUGAAGGCAUAAUUUUUCACUCUAUGAAACUGCCAUCCAGCAAUUAAGUUUAUAAAUGCAACUGGGACUAUAAAUCACACAUGGAGACUCUAACCCCAGGCAUCAAACAGGUUCUUUCCACCAGCACUUAGAAUUAAUUACUGUAGCAGAUACCGAUAUACUUUUUAGAUGUGCUUUGAUUAACUCAGAAAAUAAUACAGGAUAUUUUGUUCUAUUUUUAACCAUCAGAUAGGACAGUUUUAGUCUAGCAAAUCAUCUUCUACUCUGAUUUGACCAAAACAAUUGCAAAGCUAAUAUUGCUGCUGUACUGUAUGCAGGAUUCAGGUUACUAAACUAGAUCAUCUUAAGACAGGAAUCACCUUUUAUUGUAUUUCCGAAAGGUUGCAUUUUGAACCCUUCAAAACCCAAAUGUCUUGCAAGUUUUAUUGCUAUGCAAAAUAAUUGUGAAUGCCUAUGAGAAGCAUUAUAAAAAACAUACUUUUCAGUAACUUGUAUAACAAGUCCUACUGCUGUACAGUCAGUUGCAUUGUCUUAUGUGUUAAUAAUCUGGUUCUGGUCCAGCCAGGAUUCUCUCCUGCUAAAAAGUUUUGAGGCCAUCUCCAUGUGACCAACACCUGAGGUCUGCUCCAAAUUACACCUCACUUCUUUACAUCCCAUCUUCCAUUCCAUGUCUUUGAUUUUAUUUUGCUACUACUGCAACAAACAAACAAGCCCAGCAGCACAAGAGAAGCAAACUUUCACAGCGUAUGGGAACUGUUGAGUGAUGGUCUGAACCACUGAUUGAACACCUGGGGAAAGGACCCGGUCAGCCUUAGGAGCACAGGUGUAGGCAAUUCAGCUGUGUGACCUCAUUUAAGCACUGACUGCCCCAGGGAAGGAUCUCUUUCUGGAGAUUCCUCCUUGGUGAAGCUUUCCCCUGCAAACCUGCAGUCUUCUGAUACAGCGAACAGAUGAAGGUACUAUUGCCCUCUGUCCAGCACUUGAGAGACUGCGUCUCAAAGGUUUCAAGUUUUGGUGUUCUUUCUCUUAGUUCUGCAUUAAAAAAGAGAGACUGACUUUCUGGAUGGUGCAUACAACCCAGGAGAGGGCCCCACAGCUGGCCAGGAUGCUGGAACCACGAUAAGCAGACAGCCUACAAGAAAUGAGCGUGUUCAGACUGUGGAAAAAGGUGCCUUAGAGAGCAGAAUGCUAAAAGGAAACAGAGAGACUCAUCCUGGAUGCACAGAGGAAAAACAAAAUUCCAGUGGUCACAUGCUGCAAUAAAGGAAAUUCUAAAUAGAUGCAAGAAGAAAAAAUUUCCACCCUGAAAGUUGUUUAACACUUGAACCUACAGGCCUAUAGAGCCUGUGCAGUCUCCAGACUGAGAUGUUCAGCACAGUUCUAGGCAGCCUGGUCUAAUUGUACCAACUUUGAGCAGGGGGUUCAAUUAGAUGGCCUCCUGCAUUCUUCCCAAGGCAAGGGAGAUAUUAGACAACUUUCUGAGAUUUUUUUUUAAAAAACAUUUCUCAUUAUUAGAUCCCAAAAUGACAGCCUGACAAGCAGUACUGUGCCUGUUUACAGAUGUGAAAACUGUGAGAGACAAAGAGAAAGAUGAAUUAAUUUUCACUAGGUCAACCAGGAGACAUUAAUUUUGUUGAAACAGGAAUGAGUUUAAGGAGAUUAUGUUCUCUGAUCCCCUCCUCCACUAGUCCCAUUGUUUUUCCACUUCAAGGAACUUCUACAUUGACAUUACCGACUGCAUUACUGAUGAAAAACUCCUUUUACCUUCAAUGAUGUAUUUGGGUCAUAAAUCCCACCCUAUCAGCAAGGGAACAAUCUGAACGACAACUUGAUUAAACUUCUCUGUGCUGGUUUGUAACAGAGAAUUGAGUAGUUUAGUUGCCUGUGGCAUCUUAGCUCUGCAUAUUUCUGAUCGCCUGUCUCUGUUUACCCUAGCUGACAAUAAGACCAUGACAUAGCCAAGUUACUGUCAAGUCUUCCCCUCUUUCCAACUUUUUGGGAGCAAUGUAUAGUCAUUUAUUUACUUACACAACAUAGACAGGUCCACCCAACAGUUGAGAGUUGUACAGCGUUACCAAGUCAGGGAAAACAAGAAAGGAUCAGACUUCCUCUACAAGUAGUAAAGUCCUUACAAAUUCACAGAAAUAUUCAUAUUUUAUGCACUUAAAAAUAUAUGUGAUCCUUCAUUUCUUCUUUUCCUCAUUUUCAUAGUUUAUAUCUGCAGUUGGUAUUCCUUCUACUGCUUCUGAUGAUUUAGGAAUUUCUGAAACAGGAACUAUAAAGCCAUACAAUAUACUACAUUCCCCUAUGAAGUAAUGUUUUCCUUAAGACAGUUCCCUAUGUUCUCUCAUCACCAGCCAAUCCUUGUUCAACUUUCUCCUUACCUCAUCAUAACCAAUUAUUCAGUGAUAUUUAUGACCUGAUUUGUGCAGCUAGCCUUCCAGUACUCUUAAUCUUAACAUAAGACCUAAUUUAUAGAAUGACUUGGGUUGGAAGGGACCUUAAAGUCGAUCCAGUUCCAACUCCCUGCCUUGGGCUGGUUGUUUCCCACCAGACUAGGAUGCCCAGAGCCCCCUUCCCACCUGGCCUUGAACACCUCCAGGGAUGGGACACCCACACUUUCUCUGGGCAGCCUGUGCCUCACCACUCUAUGUAAAGAAUUUCUUCCUAACAUCUAAUCUAUAUAUAUACUUAAUUCAUUAUUUUUACUCCCCCACCAUUAGGGAAUUGAAAUUGCUAUUAAAAAAAAAAACCAACAAAACAUAAAUGAGUAGACUGCCUUUUGCUACAUGCUAUGAAAACCUAAUUAGCAUCACAAAAUGACAUUACUCAAGUCUGAGUCAAACCCUGAAAAUAACUUAAGUUCUAAAUAAAGUAAAGAAAAUGUGAUGACCAUGAUGUCUUAGAACACUGAAAACGAAUGCCUGUCAAGUGACACCACUGACUGAGGAUCAAAACAACUGGUUCACACAGACUCACUUGGGGAGUAAAUACAAUCCCUAAAGCUCCUGAACUCUCUCUCAGACUUAUUUCAUUAUUCCCAACAACUAUAUCCAGUUUGUCACUGUGAUGGUCACCCAAACACUUUGUCCAGUAUAACUGCAUUGAAGGUAAACAAAACCCAAUUACUUAAUGCAUUUUGUUUUGAAAGCUUCAGUAAUCUACAGGAAUAAACUUCAAUUUUAAUCCACAAACACUGCAAUAAAUGAACUAAAUUACCAGACAACAAGACUAUCUUGAAACCUCCUCUGAGUUUUUUGAAAGGAGAAAUCUGGAUUACCUGUUU